GCAGAGGUGUCCGAGUGGUUUAAGGUGCAGCCCUGGAAAGGCUGUGUGUGAGAAAUUGCACCAAGAGUUCGAAUCUCUUCCUCUGCGCCA
rnacentral:tRNA from 2 species